rnacentral:misc_RNA from 1 species
UGUGGGAGCGAGCCUGCUCGCGAUGGCGGCGUGUCAGCCAUAGAUAUGCCGACUGAAUGGACGCCAUCGCGAGCAGGCUCGCUCCCACA